rnacentral:rRNA from 1 species
UACGUAGGGUGCAGGCGUUAAUCGGAAUUCCUGGGCGUAAAGCGUGCGUAGGCGGUUUGUUAAGACAGGUGUGAAAUCCCCGGGCUUAACCUGGGAACUGCGCUUGUUACUGGCAGACUGGAGUGUGGCAGAGGGGGGUGGAAUUCCAGGUGUAGCAGUGAAAUGCGUAGAUAUCUGGAGGAACACCGAUGGCGAAGGCAGCCCCCUGGGCUAACACUGACGCUGAUGCACGAAAGCGUGGGGAGCAAACAGG